rnacentral:rRNA from 1 species
GGCGUAAAGCGCGCGUAGGUGGUUUGUUAAGUUGGAUGUGAAAGCCUGGGCUCAACCUAGGAACUGCAUCCAAAACUAACUCACUAGAGUACGAUAGAGGGAGGUAGAAUUCAUAGUGUAGCGGUGGAAUGCGUAGAUAUUAUGAAGAAUACCAGUGGCGAAGGCGGCCUCCUGGAUCUGUACUGACACUGAGGUGCGAAAGCGUGGGUAGCGAACAGGAUUAGAUACCCUGGUAGUCCACGCCGUAAACGAUGACAACUAGCUGUUAGGAGACUAUGUCUUUUAGUGGCGCAGCUAACGUUUUAAGUUGUCCGCCUGGGGAGUACGGCCGCAAGGCUAAAACUCAAAUGAAUUGACGGGGACCCGCACAAGCAGUGGAUCAUGUGGUUUAAUUCGAUGCAACGCGAAAAACCUUACCUACUCUUGACAUACUUGGAAGCUCUUGUAAUGAGAGUGUGCUUUUAAGAACCAAGAUACAGGUGCUGCAUGGCUGUCGUCAGCUCGUGUCGUGAGAUGUUCCGUUAAGUCGGAUAACGAGCGCAACCCUUACCCUUAUUUGCCAGCGAUUCGGUCGGGAACUAUAAGGGGACUGCCGGUGAUAAACCGGAGGAAGGUGAGGACGACGUCAAGUCAUCAUGGCCCUUACGAGUAGGGCUACACACGUGAUACAAUGGGAGAGACAGACGGACGCUAAGCCGCGAGGUGGUGCUAAUCCUAGAAACUCUCUCGUAGUCCGGAUUGGAGUCUGCAACUCGACUCCAUGAAGUUGGAAUUGCUAGUAAUCGCGGAUCAGCAUGCCGCGGUGAAUACGUUCUCGGGUCUUGUACACACCGCCCGUCACACCAUGGAAGUGGAUUGCACCAGAAGUAGAUAGUCUAACCUUAGGGAAGGCGUUUACCACGGUGUGCUUCAUGACUGGGGUGAAGUCUGUAACAA